AGUGAACGCUGGCGGUAGGCCUAACACAUGCAAGUCGAACGGCAGCACAGUAAGAGCUUGCUCUUACGGGUGGCGAGUGGCGGACGGGUGAGGAAUACAUCGGAAUCUACUUUUUCGUGGGGGAUAACGUAGGGAAACUUACGCUAAUACCGCAUACGACCUACGGGUGAAAGCAGGGGAUCUUCGGACCUUGCGCGAUUGAAUGAGCCGAUGUCGGAUUAGCUAGUUGGCGGGGUAAAGGCCCACCAAGGCGACGAUCCGUAGCUGGUCUGAGAGGAUGAUCAGCAAAACUGGAACUGAGACACGGCCAAGACUCCGAAGGGAGGCAGCAGGGGGGAAUAUUGGAAAAGGGGCGCAAGACGGACCCAGACAGGCCGGGGGGGUGAAGAAGGCCUUGGGGUUGAAAAGCCUUUUUGUGGGGAAAGAAAAGAAGCGGGUUAAUACCCCGGUGUUCGGAGGGUACAAAAAGAAUAAGAACCGGCUAACUUCGUG
rnacentral:rRNA from 1 species